rnacentral:lncRNA from 1 species
CCGAGCGCGAGGUAGACGCCGGGGCCACCCGCAGCACGCAGAGCUUCUGGGAGCCGGUGGCAAGGCCGAAUUGGGAUGCAAACCAAAUGGACGUGGGUGACUGGCAGAAAACGCCUCCCACAAAUGGGAGGGAUUUCGGAGGGAACCGAAAGAAAGUUGGCACAUUUCCUCCUGGUCAGCAGAUCUUUCUGGGAGGUGCAGCCAGGUGGACCAUCCUCAUGGCCGGUGGCAUCCCCUGAGCCUCCAGCUGUACUCUAAG